GUGCUCACCUCAGCAGCACGUAUACUAAAAUUGAAACUAUAUAGACAAGAUUAGCAUGGCCCUUGCGCAAGGAUGACAUGCAAAUUCAUGAAGCAUUCCAUAUCUUU
ensembl:snRNA U6 U6 spliceosomal RNA